UUCGCAAUGCCCGAAAGGGUGAACGAGCGACGCCGCGUGGAGGACGAAGGCCUUCGGGUUGUAAACUCCUGUCGCAUGCCCGAAAGGGUCUGACCUAUCCCUGGAGGAAGCACGGGCUAAGUUCGUGCCAGCAGCCGCGGUAAGACGAACCGUGCGAACGUUGUUCGGAUUCACUGGGCUUAAAGGGCGCGUAGGCGGCUUGCCAAGUCAGGGGUGAAAUCUUCCGGCUCAACCGGACAAUUGCUUUUGAUACUGGCAGGCUGGAGGGAGGUAGGGGCAGGUGGAACUUCCGGUGGAGCGGUGAAAUGCGUAGAUAUCGGAAGGAACGCCGGUGGCGAAAGCGACCUGCUGGACCUCCUCUGACGCUGAGGCGCGAAAGCCAGGGGAGCAAACGGGAUUAGAUACCCCGGUAGUCCUGGCCCUAAACGAUGGGCACUAAGUAGAGGGGUUUU
rnacentral:rRNA from 1 species